rfam:Trichobilharzia regenti genome assembly, scaffold: TRE_scaffold0063451
GUACUGAUGAAGAGUCCCAAACUAGGACGAAAAAGCUGUCCAGUAC